rnacentral:rRNA from 1 species
ACGCACGUGUGAAACUUGAAGGAAUUGACGGAAGGGCACCACAAGAACGCGUGGAGCAUGUGUGCUUAAUUUGACUCAACGCGGGAAAUCUUACCGGGUCCGGACACACUGAGGAUUGACAGGCAAUAUUAGCAAUUCUUUAUGUCUUUCGGGGCAUUAAAGUAGUUGUUAUGUUAAAUAUGCUAGUCCUUUCAUGAUUAUGUGAUAGGUGGUGCAUGGCCGUUCUUAGUUCGUGGAGUGAUCUGUCUGCUUAAUUGCGCUUCACUAAGGGCCUAUAAUUUAACGUGUGUU